rnacentral:rRNA from 1 species
UACGAAGGGAGCUAGCGUUGUUCGGAAUCACUGGGCGUAAAGGGUGCGUAGGCGGGUCUUUAAGUCAGGGGUGAAAUCCUGGAGCUCAACUCCAGAACUGCCUUUGAUACUGAAGAUCUUGAGUUCGGGAGAGGUGAGUGGAACUGCGAGUGUAGAGGUGAAAUUCGUAGAUAUUCGCAAGAACACCAGUGGCGAAGGCGGCUCACUGGCCCGAUACUGACGCUGAGGCACGAAAGCGUGGGGAGCAAACAGG